UACAGAGGAUGCAAGCGUUAUCCGGAAUGAUUGGGCGUAAAGCGUCUGUAGGUGGCUUUUAAGUCCGCCGUCAAUCCCAGGGCUCAACUCUGGACAGGCGGUGGAAACUACCAAGCUGGAGUACGGUAGGGCAGAGGGAAUUCCGGUGGAGCGGUGAAAUGCGUAGAGAUCGGAAAGAACACCAACGGCGAAGCACUCUGCUGGCCGACACUGACACUGAGAGACGAAAGCUAGGGGAGCGAAUGGG
rnacentral:rRNA from 1 species